UCUUAGUACCCGGAGGAAGAGAAAGAAAAUUCGAUUCCCUUAGUAGCGGCGAGCGAAACGGGAAGAGCCCAAACCAACAAGCUUGCUUGUUGGGGUUGUAGGACACUCUAUACGGAGUUACAAAGGACGACAUUAGACGAAUCAUCUGGAAAGAUGAAUCAAAGAAGGUAAUAAUCCUGUAGUCGAAAAUGUUGUCUCUCUUGAGUGGAUCCUGAGUACGACGGAGCACGUGAAAUUCCGUCGGAAUCUGGGAGGACCAUCUCCUAAGGCUAAAUACUCUCUAGUGACCGAUAGUGAACCAGUACCGUGAGGGAAAGGUGAAAAGCACCCCGGAAGGGGAGUGAAAUAGAACCUGAAACCGUGUGCUUACAAGUAGUCAGAGCCCGUUAAUGGGUGAUGGCGUGCCUUUUGUAGA
rnacentral:rRNA from 1 species